UCGGCGCCGCGGCGCGGGUGCCCCCGCCCCCACCCCUGCGCGCGCCCGGCGCGGCUGGAUGAACUCUCGGGGGCUCGCGCUGCGGAGAUCCACUUGUCAGUUCAAGGGCAGGACAGAAACUCUGCAAGAAGAGUCUUGCGAACAGGAAAUUUCUCAUUGACAAGGUGCAUCAUAAUUGGGUGCUUUCUUCGGAUCUACAGGAAAUGGCCUUCACUGCAUGCUGGCAUGCCAACAAUGCCCUCUGAGGACAUGACAGCAGUGAAUUUGUCCCGAAGGUCUCUCUGAGAUGCCUCUUGUGUUCUGUCGCUUUCCAAGAUGCAGCCUGUUCAGGCUCUAGGAGUCAUCCAUUCCCUCUGCAUCCAGCGCCUGCCUAGCACAAUCUCUUGCCUAAGACCUGGCAGUGACCUCCUAACUGGCCCCCUUGGUCCGCUUCUGCCCCUCUGCCGUCCAUUUCCAGCACAGCAGCCAACAGCAACGACCAUCCCUGCAAAUCUUGACUGCUACUGGGUACCAGGUGCCCUUCCAGACACUCGGCACAUCCUGGGGAGCAAAACGGAUGCCUGUCCUUGAGGUGCUUGUAUUCCAGCAGGAGAGAGAUGGAUGAUAGACAAUAAAGGUGUUUACUCUAUGCCGAGCACUGUCCUGGGCGCCAGGGCACCGUGGAGAACAAGAUUGACGGGGUCCCUGUGCUAAGGGAGACGGACCAUAAACACAAAGCAAAUAGAGAAGAUAACUUCGGAUGAUGAUAUGAGCUGCAAAGAAGAUGAAACAGGGCAGCGUGGCUGCGAGGGGCGGGGAUGGCCAGGGAGGCCUCAUCCCGGGCAUGGCUUCUGAGCUGAGAGGGGACCAGCUGUCUGGGGAUAAGGGAAAAAGAGCUCCAGGCAGCUGAAGGGUAAGUGCGCAGGUCCUGAAGUACGACUGCCCCUGAACUAUUUGAGCAAGGGAACAACGACGGCCUGUGUGGCUGGAGGCGAAGGGGCUUGUCUCUCCAGCUAGAAAGGCGUUCCCACAAGACCCAGGACCCCUGUGUUUCCUCUGUGGCUGCACCCACUGUGCCUGCCCACAGCUGCCACUCACCACAUUUGUUGGAUGAAGGAGUAGAUAUUUAAUUUCUGCCCCUCCUUCAAUCCCACUUUAUCCCUGAACUCUUCCCAGUCCUCUCCAGACCUCCAAGAAUACUUCCUCCCCUAAGCCAAACCCUCAGAACCUUUGCUUGAGAUCCUUGGAUGGUCAGCUUGGGGCCGGGCAACCCCUUGAAAUGGUGCAAAAAUGGUGGCCUUGGUGCCUGUGUCCAUUUUUCAGGGGGCGCAUGCAUCAAAGUCUGGAAGGUCUGAGACCUGACCUUUCAAAACGUUUAUGAAACAGUGACCCGAACCCCUGGCUUUGCAGAUGUGGGAACUGAGGUCUAGAGGACGGACCAUGUAUCCCGGGCUCCCCAUCAGGCCACCAGCUGCUAGGCCACGAGACCCACCUGAUCUGGCUGCAGGAAGCCGGUGUGGGUGCUCUCUCUUUGGCACUUGCAGCCUCACAGACGCGUGUGAGGUGGCUUGCCGCCGGCCCCUUCUGUUUGGUUGUCCUCACUUUAACCUGUAACGCGCACUAAGUCCCUUGUGGCUGAUGUCCUUCCUCCUGGGAUUAUGCAUUCCCUGGGGGCAGGAUGGGCUUCUUGGAUUUUUAAAAAUGUUACCUGACCUUACUCUUUACUUCUGCGUCUACACACUUCCAACUGAGGGACCCCACGAGCACCGGCUGCCCAGACAGCUCCUUCCUCCCACGCCUGAAGGACCACGGAAGCCGCCACGUGGGGCCUUCACUGGCUUGUGGUCAGGCCUGUGGCUGGAUAUUCUUAGCAGCCUUCAGCCGGUCAUCCCGAGAAUCUCAACUCCCCUGCCACCAGGGCUUAGAUCGCUCACCGCCGGGGCCAAGAUGUUCUCUGUUUCCAAGCAGACAACUCAGAGUCGAGUGAAGCGAAGCGUGCUUGUUUCAAAGGCCCGCAGCCCAGCGUCACACUCAGCCAGGGGCUGCUCACUGCCGCCUGGGCCUGACGAGCAGCCAGAUUGUUGGGAGAACGCGUUCUGACUUAGCAGGAACUGUUCAGCCCAGCAGGGGCUCUUGGCCACAGCAGGGCAGUUAGUGUGGCUCUGACCUCUUGCCUGGGCCCUGGGGCAACUCGGAGGCCAGGGAGUCUCAGAUACUGGCUGACCUUCCUUUCUACAGGUCAAAGGCAUCCACUGUGGGUCAAGAGGCAAUUUUUUUGGGUCGUUUCUUACCGUUAUUAUUUUUUUAAUUUUAAUUUUAUGUUGGAGUAUAGUUGACUUACAAUGUUGUGUUAGUUUCAGGGGUACAGCAAAGUGAUUCAGUUAUACAUAUACAUAUAUCUGUUCUUUUUCAGAUUCUUUUUCCAUAUAGGUUAUUACAGAGUGUUGAGUAGAGUUCCCUGUGCUAUACAGUAGGCCCUUGUUGGGUAUCUACUUUAUAUAUAGUAGUGUGUAUAUGUUAAUCCCCAACUCCUAAUUUAUCCCUCUCCCCACCCUUCCCCCCAGUAACCAGAAGUUUGUUUUUGAAGUCUGUGGGUCUGUUUCUGUUUUGUAAAUAAGUUCAGUUGUAUCAUUUUUUUUAGA